rnacentral:rRNA from 1 species
UUAUACGGCGAAACUGCGAAUGGCUCAUUAUAUAAGUUAUCGUUUAUUUGAUAGCACCUUACUACUUGGAUAACCGUGGUAAUUCUAGAGCUAAUACAUGCUGCGAUCCCCGACUUCGGAAGGGGUGUAUUUAUUAGAUUAAAAACCAAUGCCCCCCGGGCUCUCUGGUGAUUCAUGAUAACUUCGCGAAUCGCACGGCCUUGCGCCGGCGAUGGUUCAUUCAAAUUUCUUCCCUAUCAACUUUCGAUGUUUGGGUAGUGGCCAAACAUGGUUGCAACGGGUAACGGAGGGUUAGGGCUCGACCCCGGAGAAGGAGCCUGAGAAACGGCUACUACAUCCAAGGAAGGCAGCAGGCGCGCAAAUUACCCAAUCCCGACACGGGGAGGUAGUGACAAUAAAUACUGAUACAGGGCUCUUUCGGGUCUUGUAAUUGGAAUGAGUACAAUUUAAAUCCCUUAACGAGGAACAAUUGGAGGGCAAGUCUGGUGCCAGCAGCCGCGGUAAUUCCAGCUCCAAUAGCGUAUAUUAAAGUUGUUGUGGUUAAAAAGCUCGUAGUUGAACCUUGGGCCUGGCUGGCCGGUCCGCCUCACCGCGUGCACUGGUCCGGCCGGGCCUUUCCCUCUGUGGAACCCCAUGCCCUUCGCUGGGCGUGGCGGGGAGACAGGACUUUUACUUUGAAAAAAUUAGAGUGCUCCAGGCAGGCCUAUGCUCGAAUACAUUAGCAUGGAAUAAUGAAAUAGGACGCGCGGUUCUAUUUUGUUGGUUUCUAGGACCGCCGUAAUGAUUAAUAGGGACAGUCGGGGGCAUCAGUAUUCAAUUGUCAGAGGUGAAAUUCUUGGAUUUAUUGAAGACUAACUACUGCGAAAGCAUUUGCCAAGGAUGUUUUCAUUAAUCASGAACGAAAGUUAGGGGAUCGAAGACGAUCAGAUACCGUCGUAGUCUUAACCAUAAACUAUGCCGACUAGGGAUCGGACGAUGUUGAUUUUUGACUCGUUCGGCACCUUA